GUGAGGAAUAUUGGUCAAUGGGCGGGAGCCUGAACCAGCCAAGUCGCGUGAAGGAAGAAGGAUCUAUGGUUCGUAAACUUCUUUUGCAGGGGAAUAAAGUGCAGGACGUGUCCUGUUUUGUAUGUACCCUGAGAAUAAGGAUCGGCUAACUCCGUGCCAGCAGCCGCGGUAAUACGGAGGAUCCGAGCGUUAUCCGGAUUUAUUGGGUUUAAAGGGUGCGUAGGUGGUUUGAUAAGUCAGAGGUGAAAGUUUGCAGCUUAACUGUAAAAAUGCCGUUGAAACUGUCGGACUUGAGUGUAAAUGAGGUAGGCGGAAUGCGUGGUGUAGCGGUGAAAUGCAUAGAUAUCACGCAGAACUCCGAUUGCGAAGGCAGCUUACUAAGCUACAACUGACACUGAAGCACGAAAGCGUGGGGAUCAAACAGGAUUAGAUACCCCUGUAGUCC
rnacentral:rRNA from 1 species